rnacentral:rRNA from 1 species
UACAGAGGUCUCAAGCGUUGUUCGGAUUCAUUGGGCGUAAAGGGUGCGUAGGCGGCGCGGUAAGUCGGAUGUGAAAUCUCGGGGCUUAACUCCGAAACUGCAUUCGAUACUGCCGUGCUUGAGGACUGGAGAGGAGACUGGAAUUUACGGUGUAGCGGUGAAAUGCGUAGAUAUCGUAAGGAAGACCAGUGGCGAAGGCGGGUCUCUGGACAGUUCCUGACGCUGAGGCACGAAGGCCAGGGGAGCAAACGGG